rnacentral:misc_RNA from 1 species
AACUUAUUAUUGUUCUGAUCAUAGUUACCAGAUUCGCUACAAAUCUCUGAGUUCCGUGAUUUGAUUCGUGUGUCUCAAUUCACAGAACAUUUGUGUACCAAUUCGCAAGGUUACGUGAACUGAGUCGCCAAAAUGAACAUACCAUAAAUCCUCAAAAAUUAGAGGGAAAGAUAGCGAGGAUUGAAGAAGAAGAUAUGCUUAAAAAUGACAAGAACCAGAGAGGAGAAGAAGGAAAAAGAGAAGCUCAAGAGAAGAACGUGAACAACUGAAGAAGACGA